rfam:Lactobacillus agilis DSM 20509 NODE_275, whole genome shotgun sequence.
CAAGAGUCAGUCACUGUCAUUACCCCCGAGUUGGGAUAUGGGAAUACUGAUGUUGA